UACAGAGGGUGCAAGCGUUAACCGGAAUUACUGGGCGUAAAGCGUGCGUAGACGGUUACAUAAGUCGGGUGUGAAAGCCCCGGGCUCAACCUGGGAAUUGCAUUCGAGACUGCGUAGCUAGGGUGCGGAAGAGGGAAGCGGAAUUUCCGGUGUAGCGGUGAAAUGCGCAGAUAUCAGGAGGAACACCGAUGGCGAAGGCAGCUCGCUGGGACGGUACUGACGCUGAGACGCGAAAGCGUGGGGAGCAAACAGG
rnacentral:rRNA from 1 species